rnacentral:rRNA from 1 species
GACGAACGCUGGCGGCGUGCUUAACACAUGCAAGUCGAACGGAAAGGCCCUGCGUUUGUGGGGUGCUCGAGUGGCGAACGGGUGAGUAACACGUGAGUAACCUGCCCUUGACUUUGGGAUAACUUCAGGAAACUGGGGCUAAUACCGGAUAGGAGCUCCUGAUGCAUGGUGGGGGUUGGAAAGUUUCGGCGGUUGGGGAUGGACUCGCGGCUUAUCCGCUUGUUGGUGGGGUAGUGGCUUACCAGGGCUUUGACGGGUAGCCGGCCUGAGAGGGUGACCGGCCACAUUGGGACUGAGAUACGGCCCAGACUCCUACGGGAGGCAGCGGUGGGGAAUAUUGCAGAAUGGGCGGAAGCCUGAGGCAGCAACGUCGCGUGCGGGAUGACGGCUUUCGGGUUGUAAACCGCUUUCGCCUGUGACGAAGCGUGAGUGACGGUAAUGGGUAAAGAAGCACCGGCUAACUACGUG